rnacentral:rRNA from 1 species
AGCGAACGCUGGCGACAGGCCUAACACAUGCAAGUCGAACGGACCCUUCGGGGUUAGUGGCGGACGGGUGAGGAACACGUGGGAACGUGCCUUUUGGUUCGGAACAACUCAGGGAAACUUGAGCUAAUACCGGAUGUGCCCUUCGGGGGAAAGAUUUAUCGCCAUUAGAGCGGCCCGCGUCUGAUUAGCUAGUUGGUGGGGUAAAGGCUCACCAAGGCGACGAUCAGUAGCUGGUCUGAGAGGAUGAUCAGCCACACUGGGACUGAGACACGGCCCAGACUCCUACGGGAGGCAGCAGUGGGGAAUCUUGCGCAAUGGGCGAAAGCCUGACGCAGCCAUGCCGCGUGAAUGAUGAAGGUCUUAGGAUUGUAAAAUUCUUUCACCGGGGACGAUAAUGACGGUACCCGGAGAAGAAGCCCCGGCUAACUUCGUG